AGAGUUUGAUCCUGGCUCAGGACGAACGCUGGCGGCGCGCUUAACACAUGCAAGUCGAGCGAGAACCAGACCUUCGGGUCUGGGGAAAGCGGCGAACGGGUGAGUAACACGUGGGUAACCCACCCUUGGUACCGGGAUAGCCCGGGGAAACCCGGAUUAAUACCGGAUGGCCCAACAGCUCUUCGGGGCGGUUGGAAAAGGUAGCUUCGGCCUCCGACCAAGGACGGGCCCGCGGCGGAUUAGCUUGUUGGUGGGGUAACGGCCCACCAAGGCGACGAUCCGUAGCUGGUCUGAGAGGACGAUCAGCCACACUGGGACUGAGACACGGCCCAGACUCCUACGGGAGGCAGCAGUGGGGAAUCUUGCGCAAUGGGCGAAAGCCUGACGCAGCGACGCCGCGUGGGGGAAGAAGGCUUUCGGGUUGUAAACCCCUUUCAGGAGGGACGAAACCACUCGGGUGAAUAGCCCAGAGGGUGACGGUACCUCCAGAAGAAGCCCCGGCUAACUACGUGCCAGCAGCCGCGGUAAUACGUAGGGGGCAAGCGUUGUCCGGAUUUAUUGGGCGUAAAGAGCGUGUAGGCGGCCAGGUAGGUCGGUUGUGAAAACUCGAGGCUCAACCUCGAGAUGUCGACCGAAACCAUCUGGCUAGAGUCCGGAAGAGGAGAAUGGAAUUCCCGGUGUAGCGGUGAAAUGCGCAGAUAUC
rnacentral:rRNA from 1 species